GUCGUUCCGGCCACGCUCCGGGGCGGGACCGGCGGCAAGGGAGGCUGCACGGCGGCUGCGGACGGGCCAGCCUGUCCCGGGCAGGCUCAGUGCCCUGAGCAGACAUGGCGCCGGGCGCCUGCUGUGAGCGCUGCCCUCAGUUAAGAUGGUGCCCGCUGCCGUUCCCGCCGGCGCCUUCCCCGCGCCGGCACACCCCCGCGGCGCCGAGCGCAGCGCCUGAGGGAGCAGCGCCUGAGGGAGCAGCCCGGCUCGGGGCGCGGUGGCGGCGGAGCGCUGCUGCCGCCUGCCCCUUCUCGCUGUCCUUCUGCCUCAGCCACGGCCUGCAGGGCUGGGUACAGGGUGGAAUCGCUGCACCCCUCCUGCACAUCCCAUGCUGGCACAAGGCACCACUCCUGUUACAAGAGCACACAUCUCCAUGACAGAAGGAGGCAGUGUGCUUGGUGUGCCUGCUCUUUGUCUCCCAGAGAUGGCCAACAGCAGCAGAUCUCCUGCACACAGUGGCUUGCAGGUGUAUGGAAUCCAGAAGCUGUGCUUCUCUAUAUCGAUUCCAGGUUGGGGCAACACAGAAAAGGAAACAGAAGCCACCAAGGACAACAAACUCAAUUGAGGCUGCUGUAGAAAAUGUAAAGCUUAUGCUGUGGUGUAUUAAAUCAACACUAUAAGUGAAGUGCUGAAAGUCAU